UUACGAGGGCUCCUCCCUUCAGCUUUGGUCCCUCGGGGCGUCUGGGCAGCCUACGCUUUCCGACUGGAAUCAGCCAUUUUACCAAGAAAGUUGGGUUUCUUUUACUGGCAAAUAGUACUUCAAGAGCACAGUCUUAUGUAAGGUGUGGAGAUGCUUGUAUCUGGGACCCCCUGCCAUUUCUCAGGACACCCUCCUGCUCCUAGCUGGGAGAUCCAGCAUCCUCAUGAAUGCGGGGCCCAAGGCCACCAACUGUUCCACCUGCUGUCAGCCAGGCCUGUUGCCCCAGCCCUACACCCACAGCUCACCCAGCAGGGACUGGAGUGUGCUGCUGCACUGCUGGAGCCGGUCGCCCGGGUCAGAGGUUGGGAAGAAGACAGCUGCUGGCAGGCCACUGGUUGGGGGGUCCAGCCGGAAGCCCACAGCGGUGAGGAGGGCCUGCCAGCCAGGGAUGCCGCCCACUUUGUUCUCCACACUCUGCUGGGACGUGUACAUGGCGUUGCGCUGCCCAUUCUGGAUGCGCUGCA
rnacentral:antisense_RNA from 1 species